UUCCCUCUCCUUUUUCUUGCAUUCCUUGUAAACAUCGAAAUGUUCUUGGCAUUUGCUCUUCUCUGAGCUAAAUUGUUCCAAACAUUUGAGCGAAGCAGUGUAUUGAGGAUAACAAUCGGAAUCAGCAAGUUUUGCUGCACUUGGAUACGCCGGUGUUUGAAUUUUCGAAUUUGCCAUCUUGCCCUAAUUUUUCCAAUUUCUG
rnacentral:misc_RNA from 1 species